rnacentral:rRNA from 1 species
GUCUACGGCCAUGCCGCCCUGAACAAGCCCAAUCCCGUCUGAUCUCGGAAGCUAAGCAGGGUCAGGCCUGGUUAGUACUUGGAUGGGAGACCACCUAAGAAGACCAGUUGCUGUAGGCG